rnacentral:rRNA from 1 species
AUGAAUGACAAACUCCCUCCGAUCAUGUGCUGGAACGUGCGCGGGUUAAACCACCCCGCAAAGCGCGCCUCUGUCUGCGAGAUCAUAGCAGCGAAUCGAAUAGCGAUCCUAUGUCUACAAGAAACGAAGAUCGAUGCCUGGUCUCCUAGUCUAGUCCGAGAAAUUGGCGGACCCUCGCUGACUGGCUGCAUCGCCCUCCCGGCGAUUGGCACCAGCGGUGGAGCGGCAAUUCUCUGGAACGAGGGCCUCGCCACUGUCACCUCCCACGCCAUUGGCGCCUUCACCAUCACAACAAAAGUAUCCCUGCUGGGCCAGCCACAUAGCUUCUAG